UGGUCUACCCAGGAGGGAAAAACACUAGGCAUCCAAAAGACUGCUUGAUCACAACCCCAAUACACUUACACAGAGCCUAAAAUUGGUCCUCUCAUUCCAGGCGAAGCCCUAUUGGGGGAAAUAAUCUACACAACCAGCUGCAAAGGAAACCCAGACCAGUAUGUAUACUAAUCAUAUAUGGUGUCAUUAAUAUAUAUGAGGGGACAAACACAGAUCAACAUUUAAAGAAAACCUAACUACAGGGUUUUAAACAAGCACUGUUCAGCAAGCUGUGACUUACUAGCACUAAAAAACUGAGUUCCCAAGAAACUGCAGUUCCCAAUCCUGGUUACAUAUCAGAAUCACCUAUAGGACUUUUCUUUUUUUUUUUUAUUUGGAGACAGAGUUUCACUCUUGUCACCCAGGCUGGAGUGCAAUGGCCACGAUCGCAGCUCACUGCAACCUCCGCCUCCCGGGUUCAAGCCAUUCUCCUGUCUCA
rnacentral:lncRNA from 1 species